rnacentral:sRNA from 1 species
CGAGCGAUCAUAAGGGAGCUGACUGCAAAUCUGCCGUCAUCGACUUCAAGGUUCGACUCGAGCGCCAGCGAGAGAGCGUUGCCAUUGGCAACGACCCGAAGGGUGAGGAGCAACGCUCCGAAUAAUCCUUCCCUCUUGCA